GGAUUAGAUACCCUGGUAGUCCACGCCGUAAACGAUGAUAACUAGACGUUGGGGGUCUUAGAACUCUUAGUGUCGAAGCUAACGCGUUAAGUUAUCCGCCUGGGGAGUACGGUCGCAAGAUUAAAACUCAAAGGAAUUGACGGGGGCCCGCACAAGCGGUGGAGCAUGUGGUUUAAUUCGAUGCAACGCGAAGAACCUUACCAUCCCUUGACAUCCAGAGAAUCUGUUAGAGAUAGUAGAGUGCCUUCGGGAACUCUGAGACAGGUGCUGCAUGGCUGUCGUCAGCUCGUGCCG
rnacentral:rRNA from 1 species